CCUACGGGGGGCAGCAGUGAGGAAUAUUGGUCAAUGGCCGAAACCCUGAACCUGCCAAGCCGCGUGAGGGACGAAGGUGCUAAGCAUUGUAAACCUCUUUUGUCAGGGGACAAAAUCAGGCUCGAGAGCCUGACCGAGGGUACUUGAAGAACAAGCAUCGGCUAACUCCGUGCCAGCAGCCGCGGUAAUACGGAGGAUGCGAGCGUUAUCCGGAUUUAUUGGGUUUAAGGGGGGCGUAGCCGGUCUGUUAAGUCAGCGGUAAAAGCCCGGGGCUCAACCCCGGCGAGCCGAUGAAACUGGCUGUCUUGAGAAGUCGAGAGGGAUGCGGAAUGCGCAGUGUAGCGGUGAAAUGCUUAGAUAUCGCGCAGAACUCCGAUUGCGAAGGCAGGAUACCGGCGGCGAUCUGACGCUGAGGCACGAAAGCGAGGGUAUCGAACAGGAUUAGAUACCCCUGUAGUC
rnacentral:rRNA from 1 species